CAAGAUGAUUCAGAAGUGACUAAUAAGCAUUGUGACAAAAGAUCUUCUAGCAAGUCCAGCUAUCAAAACAAGUCAUCUCAGUAUUUGUCACAUUCUGCCAAUAAUUCCGGUAGACAAAAGGAUGACGAGAAAUUGGAUGUUAUGGAUAGGCAUCUAAGAAGCUCAUAUGAGAAUCAUAGCUCAAAGUUUCUGGCGAAAAAUGCUUUUGAGGAUAGAUAUGACCCUGCAGUAUCUAAUGACACAAAUCAAGAUGAUGUGUAUGCUAACAAGAAGUAUGUCAGAGCAGAGAAAUUCCAUAAGUAAAAUUGCAGCAAUUCUGCGACCGCUUAUCAUGAGAAAGCCUUAAGUUUUAUGAUAUGGUAGGAAGUCAUCAGGCUUCAGCAAUUUUGUCUGCUUCUGUAUCCUCCGUUGUAUCCUUAACUGUUUUAUCAUUAGUUCAAUUGACAAUGAGUAGCAAUCGUCAAUUAAGUUGAAAUGACAUUACUGUGAAAACUAUUUAAUACUUACUUUAUACUGUCAUAUUUUCCCAUAUCAACAGAAAUAGUUAUUAAUAAUGUCUACACCUGAGAUGUUUCUUGUG